CCCCUGGUGGCUCAGACGGCAAAGUGUCUGCCUGCAAAGCAGGAGACCCGGGUUCGAUUCCUGGGUCGGGAA
rnacentral:tRNA from 1 species